CCCAAGCUCCACACCCAAUCUCUCUCCCUCUGCCCUAGCGAGGGCCCAGUCACAAUUGUGUUCUGACCAGAGGGACCUGUAAUAAUGUACAUUGUGUUCCCUGAUUGAGGAUCUGGUUUUGUUCAAGUUGCUGGGUUAAAACGUCCUCUGUGGCAGCCAUGCUUUUGCUACUCAGCUUCUUGGACACGGACAUGGACAUGGAUUUGGUCCUUGUGAUGUGACCAGUAGAGAAGGAAAAGGCGGACACAGGGCUUGUCAAGCAGCCAAGCGUGUCCUGUUUUGUGGUCGGGUAGUUUGUUCGGAAAGCGAUAGAUCCCAGAUACUGCUCAGUAAUCACCUCGUGAGCCCGUCACUGCCCCAUCCCUG
rnacentral:lncRNA from 1 species